AUUCAGGAAAUACAGGUAAAUGGCGGUUGAAGGGUCGGUUGAAAGCUAAAACAAAACACGUGCACAGUAAAAUACUGGUUUACAGUUGUUUCAGUCACUAUUAACAUAUUACCUUACUGCGACAUUGACUAACAGCAGGAGCUUUACCCGUGAAGACCGCGGUAGUUUGUAAAGUUAGUGCCAGAAAGUUAGCCUAUGUCACAAACAUGUUUGCAAAUAAUUGAGAAAGCGCUCGGUUUGCGCGGAUGGUUGAUGGAUCAUGUGAACGUUGAUGGGAGCUGAAUGAUGUCAUCUCACCUGCACAAGGUGAAUGGGGCCUGAGUGAUAGACCCAGAACCUUUCAUCUCACCCAGUUAUGCUGGCCAGUGGAAACCGUUCAUGAAAGAUGUCACUACGAAGGCUGACUGAGUCAUACUCCAUUGUCUGCUAUCCAGGCCUAUAAGUGCCAGGACAUCAGACUUCCUCAAGCUGUCAGCCUCGUUUUUCCCCCAGAACAACACGAUGUUGAGAUCGGACGAGACUAAGGAAAAAAACAGCUGGUGGAGCUGGAGAGAAACCCUCGCAUUCAGAACGAAAAGAGGUCUAAUCUGUUUUAGCUUCAGCUGCUGCCAAUUAAAGGCAUUUUUCUUUGUGGCUGUCAAGGA